AUACGUAGGGAGCGAGCGUUGUCCGGAAUUACUGGGUGUAAAGGGAGCGUAGGCGGGAGUGCAAGUCAGAUGUGAAAUACAUGGGCUCAACCCAUGGGCUGCAUUUGAAACUGCAUUUCUUGAGUGAAGUAGAGGUAAGCGGAAUUCCUGGUGUAGCGGUGAAAUGCGUAGAUAUCAGGAGGAACACCGGUGGCGAGGGCGGCUUACUGGGCUUUUACUGACGCUGAGGCUCGAAAGCGUGGGGAGCAAACAGGAUUAGAUACCCAGGUAGUCCACGCUGUAAACGAUGAUCACUAGGUGUGGGGGGACUGACCCCUUCCGUGCCGCAGUUAACACAAUAAGUGAUCCACCUGGGGAGUACGGCCGCAAGGUUGAAACUCAAAUGAAUUGACGGGG
rnacentral:rRNA from 1 species